UACGUAGGGGGCAAGCGUUGUCCGGAUUUAUUGGGCGUAAAGAGCGUGUAGGCGGCCUGGUAGGUCAGCUGUGAAAACUCGAGGCUCAACCUCGAGACGUCGGUUGAAACCACCUGGCUAGAGUCCGGAAGAGGAGAGUGGAAUUCCCGGUGUAGCGGUGAAAUGCGCAGAUAUCGGGAAGAACACCCGUGGCGAAGGCGGUUCUCUGGGACGGUACUGACGCUGAGACGCGAAAGCGUGGGGAGCGAACAGG
rnacentral:rRNA from 1 species